UUGCUCCACCAUGCGUGCUUGGUGGGAAGAAGACGAGGAGAGACGAUCGAGAUUCUACAAGAAUGUUAUUGGAUGCAGUGACGAUCCCCCUUCUCGAUGCACACCUGAGAUAGCACACUUCAUUCUUAAGCAACACUUCGAAGCUCCGUCAAUGUGGGCGAUCUUCCCACUUCAGGAUUUGCUCGCUCUAAAAGAGGAAUAUACAACUCGGCCAGCAGUCGAGGAAACGAUCAAUGACCCCACGAA
rnacentral:misc_RNA from 1 species